rnacentral:rRNA from 1 species
CCAGCAGCCGCGGUAAUACCAGCUCCACUAGCUUAUACAAUCAUUGUUGCGGUUAAGAGGCUCGUAGUUGGAUUGAAUAAAACAUAUAUACACAAUACUGUGAACAAACCAGAGUGUAUAAAACAUGUAAUAUAUUAUAUAUUUAGCAAUGAAUGUUUUAUCAUGGAAUAUUGCUAUAAUGAAUAUUAAUAUCGAUGGAGAUAGUUGGAGUUAAGAGUACUGAUAGGCGAGCGGUGAAAUGCAUUGACCCUAUUAAGACUAACAAAAGCGAAAGCACUUAACUAGAUUAUUCUCUUUGUAUUAUUUUACAAUGAAGAGCGAAGGUUGGGGGAACAAAGAGGAUCAGAUACCCUCGUAGUCCUAUUUUUACAUCAAACUAUGGGAUUUCAUUCACACUAAACACUAAACAUUAUAAUUAUAAUUAUGAUUGAGUAUAUGUCAAAAUAUUACUCUCAUAUUAAAUAAUUAUUAUAUAUAUGAUUAUAUGUACUUUGAGCUCAUAUAAUUAUAUAGGUGAGAUGUAAGCAUUAUAAAGUGAAUAAUAUACAAGUAAUAUUGUAUUAUUAUGAUCUUUAAAAUAAAAAAUGUAAUGUGAUGCACGUUUUAGGUACGAGCUUACUAUAGAAAUAUUUAAAAUAAUACCCUCCUGGGGUAGUAUGCACGCAAGUGUGAAACUUGAAGGAAUUGACGGAAGGGCCCACAAGAACGCGUGGAGCAUGUGGCUUAAUUUGACUCAACCCGGGAAAUCUUACCAGGUCCAGACAUAUUGAGGAUUGACAGGCGAUAGUAUAUAAUUCAUUUAUAUGCAUAAAAAUGAUAGUCCUUUCAUGAUUAUAUGAUAGGUGGUGCAUGGCCGUUCUUAGUUCGUGGAGUGAUUUGUCUGCUUAAUUGCGUUUCAGUAAAUAAAAUAUAUAAUAUAUUAUAAUAUUUAGUUCUGCCUUGAAUAUUAUUCAAGGAUUUAAAGUGAACAUAUUAUAUAUAUUAUUAUAUAAUAAAUGAAUGCAAC